GUACAGGCCUACUUUAUAUAAAAUAAAAACUUGGCAAAGAUAGCAACGAAGGAAAGCUUUGAAGAUUUAUCAAUAUCAACAUCAAAGAGGUAAGAGAAAGCUUCUUCUGAUUUCAGUAAUAGAACCAUUUCCUUAAGUCCACAAUGUUUGCUGAAAUAAAAGCUUGAUUGAUAUCCUAGUUUGAAAUGGAUUCUUCUGUUGACAAGAAUUAGCCCCAAAUUUAACGGGAUUGGGGUUGUGAGAAAGCUUCCUUUAAGUACUGUUUUGAUAUUCUGGAGAAGAAAAUGAUUUUCAUUGCUUAGGCAUUCGCUUAUCUGUGUUCCCAGCGGCCUUAAUCAUGAUUUCCGCAGAUUCUUGUUUUAUGUAUUUAUUUGAUUUUUCUAUAUAAAAACAAGUCUAUACAAGCAAACAUGCAAUUUAGCAAUACAUGACAUGUUAUAUGAAUGAAAGGGAAAAGAUUAACGGACUAUUGCUAUUCUUCCCAUAGCGACAAAGCGAGUCACUCAUGAUUCGAUAGUUCCAUUUUCCGCUGAUGCAUCCCGAUGAAAUCCUAGCAGUCAAACCAACGUAUUUGUUCCGCACCCUCCUUCCAAUCAAAUCUUUCCAAGGUGUCCGGAGGCAGGGGAAAGAAAGGAGGGAUUGAGCCCCAGGUGCUAGACCGAACAUAAGUACAAGUCCAAAAUCAUCGUACGAACCUAUAGGAACCUUCAAAUCAUGAUUCUCAAUCCGUUUAGCUCAAAUGUUGACUUUGGUCAACUCUCUGAAGUUAAGGCUUUAAGUUAGCAACCAAGUGUAACGCCGCUAAGGCUUCAAGUUAGCAACCAAGUGUAAAGCCGUUAACUUUUAUGUAGGAUUUUCAUUUUAUAUGGAUAUUAAGUGUUUGAUUUUUGAAAUACAAGGGGUGUGUCUAUAACGCAGUCAUAUUAUAAGGGUGUUUAAAUUUAAUUUGCUCAAGAUUAAACCCUUCCUUUUUGUUAUGAACACAUGUGAUUAAAUAAUAAGAAGUUAAAAUAUUUGAAUUUUCACCUUUCUUCUCUGUAUUCUUCAGCUCGCUUUUGGUCACGCUUUAGAAAGUUCUGUUCUUUGCAUUCCAUUCACUGGUAUACUGAUAAAUUGCAUUCUAUGCACUGAUUUGGUGUUCUUAUGUUCUGCUUGUGCUAUUAAUUUCGUUAUAAAAUUACCAGUAAUGUUGAAACUAUACAUCAAUUCUGUGGCCUUUUAUCUACUUUCUGUUGAAGUAAGAUGGAUGAUCUGAUGCCUCCUGCCCCCUUUAUUAAGCGCCGGAAGGUAACAUACUUUUAAACUAUAGGUCUACCUCCAACACUUUUUAUUCCACUCCUAGGCUAAUGUAUAAAGUUUUUUUUUUCUUUUUAAAUGCAAAAUCUCUGCAAGUGUGGGAUUGACGAGUGACGACUUGCCUGAUGAGUUGCUUAUUGCCAUACUUUCCUGUUUGAACUUCCACGAGGCAGCAAAGACCUGUAUUCUCUCGCAGCACUGGAGAUACUUAUGGGAACAUACAAUUUGCAGAAUUGAAUUAUAUAAUGACGACACAUUUGAAAUUGAUGCAGCAGAAAAGUUUAUAAAUUCGGUGAAUGAUGCCUUUGAAAUUUCAUGAGGGUGCAUUUAUUGAGUGGUUCAAAUUUGGUUUUGUCUACCCAAGUGUACUCCCCCCUACAGCAGUACUGAUUUUGCAACAGUAAAUCAAGGCCAAGUCGAGUGUGAUAUUGAUUGCUGGAUUAAUGUUGCAAUACAAAAGCAGGUCAAAGUAUUUGAACUGAACCUGGCAGCAGGUAAUGUGUGCAGUGAAUUUGAUAUGACAUAGCAUUCCUCAUGUGCAAAAGUUGUUGCCCAUUUGUUGCGAGAUUAAUUUGCUGAGAAUAUUGGCGACUCUCAAAUCUUUCCAAUUUGUUAAUGUCCGCAUAACACGGGAAGUUGUUGAGUUCCUUUUGUCCCACUGCCCUUUACUGGAGGAAGUCUGUAUUUCAACCUCAGAUUCUCUUGAGAGUUUGAAAGUUGCUCGUUCAUUAUCUAAGUUAAGGUCCAUGGAAAUAUCAAAUUGUGAAGCUUUAAUUUGAAGACUAUGAAGGUUCAUGCUCCAGAGCUUGUGUCUUCUACAUACAUUGGACGUACUAUUAAAGUGCCUUUCAAGAAAGUUCCCCUCUUCUCUCAGCUAACUAUUGGAGGAGAUUAUGUGAUUCUUUUAUUUUUGAUGCUCACAAGCACUCUAGCUAUUGUCGAAAUCUGAAGAAGCUUAAACUGGAAGUGUCAUAAGAGUUAUCUAGGAAAUGCUGGGUCAUUCCCAAUGUAUACCCUCAACUUUGCUACUGAAAGAGUUGGAAUUGGACAUCGCCACAGAAGAGGGUGAUGGCCUUUGCUUCUUCACAUUCUUGACUAAGUGUUCUUCUCAGUUAUCAAGUUUAACCAUCCAGGUAACCGUUCUUCUUGCAUUUGCUUCUCCUUUAUGCCAUGCCACUUUCUUGCCUUCUAUAAGUAUAAGUUAUUUGACAAAAAGUCUUAACAAUGUCAACCUAACAAGUUCUUUGAAAUAAUAAAGCAAAUCUUAAGAAGUUCUAAGAUGGAACAAGUUACCAUAAAAUCAUGACACAAUUAAUUGGUGCGUCCUCCUUAUACAUGGAAUGUGAUACAUUUUUUAAUAAAGAAUACAUGUAUUGGAAAUCGAUAAAGCCUAUAACACCAGAAGAAUGAUUAUUGUACAAUAUUGAGGUUGAUGAAGGAAAUUUAAAAUGUUUAUGCCAAUAGUAAAUUACUCUCGAGAAGGUUGAUAAGGAGUAGCAUUUAAGUAAAGGUCACCCUUUCUAGCAAUAGUUAUUCCCGAUAAUUCGGUCAAGUCCAAGUCUCUUGGCUUGAUUCCGGUUGGGAGUUUCCAGUCAAAGUGAUAGAGUAAUUGAGCCAAUGGUAAGUAAAGAUUAGCUAAACCAAAUGACAUUCCAGGACAAAUUCUCCGUCCCCCGCCAAAGGGAAGAAACUCAAAAUUAUUACCAAAAA